rnacentral:rRNA from 1 species
CUGCGAAAAGCUACGGGGAUUGGCACACACGAAUUGAUCCGUAGAUAUCCGAAUGGGGCAACCCACUAUAUUGAAGAUAUAGUACACCGAUAGGUGAGCAAACCCGCUGAACUGAAACAUCUAAGUAGGCGGAGGAGAAGAAAACAACAGUGAUUCCGUAAGUAGUGGCGAGCGAACGCGGAUUAGCCCAAACCAAUGAUGUUACGGCAUGAUUGGGGUUAUAGGACCACGUGAUUUCUUGCUAAUUUAAUAAGAAUAAUCUGGAAAGAUUAACCACAGAGGGUGAUAGUCCCGUAUUAGUAAGAGAGGAUAAGAAUAGUGGUAUCCUGAGUAGGGCGGGGCACGAGAAACCCUGUCUGAAUUUGGCGGGACCAUCCGCUAAGGCUAAAUACUCCUGAGAGACCGAUAGUGAACCAGUACCGUGAGGGAAAGGUGAAAAGAACCGUGAAUAACGGAGUGAAAUAGAUCCUGAAACCAUACGCUUACAAGCGGUCGGAGCUUUAUUUAUAGGGUGACGGCGUGCCUUUUGCAUAAUGAGCCUACGAGUUACGGUAUCUGGCAAGGAUAAGCAAUUCAGUUGCGCAUCCGUAGCGAAAGCGAGUCUUAAUAGGGCGUUUUAGUCAGUUGCUGUAGACGCGAAACCGUGUGAUCUACCCAUGGGCAGGUUGAAGUUUAGGUAACACUAAAUGGAGGACCGAACCGGUUGACGUUGAAAAGUCUUCGGAUGACCUGUGGGUAGGGGUGAAAGGCCAAUCAAACUCGGAAAUAGCUCGUACUCCCCGAAAUGCAUUUAGGUGCAGCGUUAGUUAUAAGUUAUCUAGAGGUAGAGCUACUGAUUGGAUGCGGGGGCUUCACCGCCUACCAAUUCCUGACAAACUCCGAAUGCUAUAUAAUGUUUACUAACAGUGAGGGCAUGGGUGCUAAGGUCCAUGUCCGAGAGGGAAAGAACCCAGACCAUCAGCUAAGGUCCCCAAAUGUAUACUAAGUUGAAAAAACGCGGUUUGUCUGCAUGGACAGCUAGGAUGUUGGCUUGGAAGCAGCCAUUCAUUUAAAGAGUGCGUAACAGCUCACUAGUCGAGCGGACGAGCAUGGAUAAUAAUCGGGCAUAAGUAUACUACCGAAGCUAUGGAUUUUGCUUUAUAGCAAAGUGGUAGGGGAGCAUUCUAAUUUGGCAGAAGAUUUUAUGUAAAUAGAGUUGGACGGAUUAGAAAAGAAAAUGUAGGCAUAAGUAACGAUAAGCGGUGCGAGAAACACCGCCACCGAAAGACUAAGGUUUCCUGAGCUAUGCUAAUCAGCUUAGGGUUAGUCGGGUCCUAAGGCGAAUCCGAAAGGAACAGUCGAUGGCCAAUGGGUUAAUAUUCCCAUACUAUUUAUUACUGUGAUGGGGUGACGGAGAGAUGAAAGUGUCGCGAACUGACGGAAUAGUUCGUUGAAGUGUGUAGUUAAAUUUUAGAUAGGCAAAUCCGUUUAAGAUGGCGAAUCACGAUAGUACUCUGCGUUUUCGGACAAAGAGAUAGUACACCUAAGAGCUUCCAAGAAAAACCUCUAAACUUCAGGUAAUAAAUACCCGUACCGUAAACCGACACAGGUAGUCGAGGAGAGAAUCCUAAGGUGCUCGAGAGAUUCAUGGCUAAGGAAUUAGGCAAAAUUGACCUGUAACUUCGGGAUAAAGGUCGCCAACAGCAAUGUUGGCCGCAGUGAAUAGGUCCAGGCGACUGUUUAUCAAAAACACAGGGCUCUGCAAAAUCGUAAGAUGAAGUAUAGGGCCUGACACCUGCCCGGUGCUGGAAGGUUAAGAGGAGAUGUCAUCAGCAAUGAGAAGCAUUGAAUUGAAGCCCCAGUAAACGGCGGCCGUAACAAUAACGGUCCUAAGGUAGCGAAAUUCCUUGUCGGGUAAGUUCCGACCU